GACGAAUGCUGGCGGCGUGCCUAAUACAUGCAAGUUGAGCGAUGAAGAUUGGUGCUUGCACCAAUUUGAAGAGCAGCGAACGGGUGAGUAACGCGUGGGGAAUCUGCCUUUGAGCGGGGGACAACAUUUGGAAACGAAUGCUAAUACCGCAUAACAACUUUAAACAUAAGUUUUAAGUUUGAAAGAUGCAAUUGCAUCACUCAAAGAUGAUCCCGCGUUGUAUUAGCUAGUUGGUGAGGUAAAGGCUCACCAAGGCGGUGAUACAUAUCCCAACUGAGAGGGUGAUCGGCCACAUUGGGACUGGAUCACGGCCCAAACUCCUCCGGAGGGCAGGAGUAGGGAAUCUUCGGCAAUGGACGAAAGUCUGACCGAGCAACGCCGCGUGAGUGAAGAAGGUUUUCGGAUCGUAAAACUCUGUUGGUAGAGAAGAACGUUGGUGAGAGUGGAAAGCUCAUCAAGUGACGGUAACUACCCAGAAAGGGACGGCUAACUACGUGCCAGCAGCCGCGGUAA
rnacentral:rRNA from 1 species